UACGAAGGGGGCUAGCGUUGUUCGGAAUUACUGGGCGUAAAGCGUGCGCAGGCGGCCAUUCAAGUCAGGGGUGAAAGCCCAAGAGCUCAACUCUGGAACUGCCCUUGAAACUGUAUGGCUUGAGUACGAGAGAGGUGAGUGGAAUUCCCAGUGUAGAGGUGAAAUUCGUAGAUAUUCGCAAGAACACCAGUGGCGAAGGCGGCUCACUGGCCCGGUACUGACGCUGAGGUGCGAAAGC
rnacentral:rRNA from 1 species